GGAUGCGAUCAUACCAGCACUAAAGCACCGGAUCCCAUCAGAACUCCAAAGUUAAGCGUGCUUGGGCGAGAGUAGUACUAGGAUGGGUGACUUCGUGCUGCAUUCC
rnacentral:rRNA from 1 species